rnacentral:rRNA from 1 species
AAUGGCCGAAAGGCUGACGGAGCGACGCCGCGUGUAGGAAGACGCCCCUCGGGGUGUAAACUACUUUUAUUAGGGACGAAUUUCUGACGGUACCUAAUGAAUAAGGGGCUGCUAAACUCGUGCCAGCAGCAGCGGUAAUACGAGUGCCCCAAGCGUUAUCCGGAUUCAUUGGGCGUAAAGCGUCUGUAGGCGGUUUAUUAAGUCCUGCGUCAAAUCUUCGGGCUCAACCCGAAGGCCGCGCAGGAUACUGAUAGACUAGAGGAUGGAAGAGGUACAUGGAAUUACCGGUGUAGCGGUCAAAUGCGUUAAUAUCGGUAGGAACACCAAAUGCGAAGGCAGUGUACUGGUACAUUUCUGACGCUGAGAGACGAAAGCGUGGGGAGAGAAGGGGAUU